UACGUAGGGUGCAAGCGUUGUCCGGAAUCAUUGGGCGUAAAGAGCGUGUAGGCGGCCCGAUCAGUCCGCUGUAAAAGUCCAAGGCUCAACCCUGGGAUGCCGGUGGAUACUGUCGGGCUAGAGUCCGGAAGAGGCGAGUGGAAUUCCUGGUGUAGCGGUGAAAUGCGCAGAUAUCAGGAGGAACACCAAUGGCGAAGGCAGCUCGCUGGGACGGUACUGACGCUGAGACGCGAAAGCGUGGGGGAGCAAACAGG
rnacentral:rRNA from 1 species